UAUUAGGCUAGACUGCAGUAAUGCGAUUCACUGUUCAGCAAAGGAGGGUAUUGGUAUAACUGAAAUUUUAAAUGUUAUUAUAACAAGGAUUCCUCCUCCAAAGGAUACCUCAGAAAGCCCUAUGAGAGCUCUUAUAUUUGAUAGAAAUCGAGAUCAUGCUUGGCAAACUAUUGUGACCAAUGGGGUCAAGAUAUACAAUGCAUCAAGGGGU